rnacentral:rRNA from 1 species
UACGUAGGAUGCAAGUGUUAUCCGGAAUCACUGGGCGUAAAGCGUCUGUAGGUGGUUCGAAAAGUCCACUGUUAAAAAUUGAGGCUUAACUUCAAAGAUGCCGUGGAAACUUUCAAACUAGAGUAUGGUAGGGGUAGAGGGAAUUUCCAGUGGAGCGGUGAAAUGCGUAGAUAUUGGAAAGACCACCGAUGGCGAAGGCACUCUACUGGGCCACUACUGACACUGAGAGACGAAAGCUAGGGGAGCAAAUGGG